rnacentral:rRNA from 1 species
UACGUAGGGUGCAAGCGUUGUCCGGAAUUAUUGGGCGUAAAGAGCUCGUAGGCGGUUUGUCGCGUCUGCUGUGAAAACUCGGGGCUUAACUCCAGGCCUGCAGUGGGUACGGGCAGACUAGAGUGCGGUAGGGGAGACUGGAAUUCCUGGUGUAGCGGUGAAAUGCGCAGAUAUCAGGAGGAACACCGGUGGCGAAGGCGGGUCUCUGGGCCGUAACUGACGCUGAGGAGCGAAAGCGUGGGGAGCGAACAGG